rnacentral:lncRNA from 1 species
CUGUUUGGAUCAUUUUUAGUUCACAUGUGUGGAACCAACACCAUGGGAAGAGAGCCCUCAAAAAAAACACCAUGGGAAGAGAGCAUUAGGAGAUGAUGUAUGAUUCUGGAAACUCCAUAAUAGGAAGAGAGCAUUAGGAGCAUUAGGAGCAUUAGGCCCAAAAUUCAGACACAUCAUGAGUUCAGGAGAAAGCAAAGUAGCAGCAAGAGCAGCAAAAACCGGAACCGAGAUGAGCAUGAGGCUACACAGAAUUUGGAAGUGUGGCAGAAAGAGCAGCAAAAACCGGAACCAAGUGUGGCAGAAGUAGGAACUGUGGGGAUGACG